rnacentral:pre_miRNA from 1 species
GGUGAGCCACAUGUGGCUCGCGAGCCACAUGUGGCUCGCGAGCCACAUGUGGCUCGCGAGCCACAUGUGGCUCGCGAGCCACAUGUGGCUCG